AGGAUGACGUGCGCGGUGCCGGUCUGCAGCCGCGCUUGAUAAUUGAGGGGCCAGCGACAACCAGACGACGAUCGAGGACCACGGCCAAAUUUCUGGCCCGUCAUGUGAGACGUCCAAGUUGAGCGAGAUGAUGCCCAGUUUGGCCUCGGGCUUCGCGGGAUUCUGCGUUCACGACGUCGAGGUUGGAACCUGAAACGUCCCUUUGUUGUGCCGGCUACUCGGAUGAGGGUCGCGUCAAGUGCAUCCAACGCAUUUACCAAACAAAGAGGAGGGCAGGGAGCGGCGUCACUCCACCGAGGACGUGGACCUGCGGGCCCUGUUAGCCGAGCCCGCCGACGACGCGCAGGACCACAGCGAACAGCGAGAAAAUAAAUCUUAUGAUAGCGCAGGCCGACGAGCAACUCAACAACGGCACCCUCAUCAUGACCAAGUACAAAACCCUGCUCAGAGAGGUAAUAUAUGUUAUUGUUAUUAAGAAUAGAAACUAUUUUGAUGAUUU